CCCUUAGAUGUUCUGGGCCGCACGCGCGCUACACUGAUGCAUUCAACGAGCCUAUCCUUGACCGACAGGUCCGGGUAAUCUUUGAAUCUGCAUCGUGACGGGGAUAGAUUAUUGCAAUUAUUAAUCUUCAACGAGGAAUGCCUAGUAGGCGCAAGUCAUCAGCUUGCGUCGAUUACGUCCCUGCCCUUUGUACACACCGCCCGUCGCUCCUACUGAUUGGGUGUGCUGGUGAAAUGUUCGGAUCGGCCGUUUGUCGCGGUUUCCGCGUCAUGUGGCUGAGAAGUUCAUUAACCCCUCCCACCUAGAGGAAGGAGAAGUCGUAACA
rnacentral:rRNA from 1 species